UCUGAUGAAUUACAUUUACCAUGAAUGCAAUGCAAAGUGGACAAAGAGCAGCCCACCAGCAGCUAGGAUGACGGGAGUUGUAAUCCAAUACAUCUGGAAACUACCAGGCUGAGAAGCUUCUCCUCAUGCAAGCUCCUGGUCACCCAGCAGAUGGACAGCAAAGAGCCUGGGGUGAAGCUGGCAGAUGGGACAAUCUCUCCAAUCAGGGAAGUCAGAAGGCUCAGUCCAUUUAAAUCUGGAUUAUGCACCCUCUGGAGGGCUUCUUUUUUGGGCCCCCCUUUCUUUUUUGGCACAAAGGAGAACAUUAGCCAGCAUCAAUUAAGAAACAGAUGUAUCCAGGUCUUGGGACUGAUGGAAGGAUGUCUGAGGAUGGGUGUGAAGGUGGAAACACUACCUCCAACAAAGUACCCACAUGGCCAGGAGAAGGAGGGAACUGCCUGCAUGAAUACCCCAUACCAUCUGAACUGAAGACAACAACCACAACAUCUUGACAACAUGCAGGCCUAUGACUAACAUCAUCAAAAUUUCUUGUUUUUUAACACCUUUGCUUGUUGAAGAAGCCCAGAAGCCCCAACAGCUUGCAACACGUAUAAUGUGCAUUUUGGUUAUCCCAAUAAAGGUAUCACUGUUUCAUGGAUUUAUAUGUAAUAUUACUUAAUAAUAAAUAAUGUAAUAAAUAAAAAUAAAUAA